GGGGAAUUUUCCGCAAUGGGCGAAAGCCUGACGGAGCAAUGCCGCGUGGAGGAAGACGGCCCGUGGGUUGCAAACUCCUUUUCUUAGAGAAGAACAACUGACGGUAUCUAAGGAAUAAGCAUUGGCUAACUCUGUGCCAGCAGCCGCGGUAAUACGGGAGUGGCAAGCGUUAUCCGGAAUUAUUGGGCGUAAAGCGUCCGCAGGCGGUCUUGUAAGUCUGUCGUUAAAGCGUGGAGCUUAACUCCAUUUCAGCGAUGGAAACUGCAAGACUAGAGUGUGGUAGGGGCAGAGGGAAUUCCCGGUGUAGCGGUGAAAUGCGUAGAUAUCGGGAAGAACACCAGUGGCGAAGGCGCUCUGCUGGGCCAUAACUGACGCUCAUGGACGAAAGCCAGGGGAGCGAAAGGGAUUAGAUACCCCAGUAGUC
rnacentral:rRNA from 1 species